rnacentral:rRNA from 1 species
UUGCUCUUUUUCAGAAUUGAGUGGCAAACGGGUGAGUAACGCGUGGGUAACCUGCCCUGUACAGGGGGACAACAGCUGGAAACGGCUGCUAAUACCGCAUAAGCCCUUAGCACUGCAUGGUGCAUAGGGAAAAGGAGCAAUCCGGUACAGGAUGGACCCGCGUCUGAUUAGCCAGUUGGCAGGGUAACGGCCUACCAAAGCGACGAUCAGUAGCCGAUCUGAGAGGAUGUACGGCCACAUUGGGACUGAGACACGGCCCAGACUCC